GCUCCUGUGGUGAAACUGGAUAUCACAGCGGUCUUCGGAACCGCCAUUCUAGGUUCGAAUCCUAGCGGGAGCACCC
rnacentral:tRNA from 1 species